rnacentral:rRNA from 1 species
UACGGGGGGGGCAAGCGUUGUUCGGAAUUACUGGGCGUAAAGGGCUCGUAGGUGGCCAACUAAGUCAGACGUGAAAUCCCUCGGCUUAACCGGGGAACUGCGUCUGAUACUGGAUGGCUUGAGUUCGGGAGAGGUGAGUGGAAUUCCUAGUGUAGAGGUGAAAUUCGUAGAUAUUAGGAAGAACACCAGUGGCGAAGGCGGCUCACUGGCCCGGUACUGACGCUGAGGCGCGAAAGCGUGGGGAGCAAACAGG